UACGGGGGGGGCAAGCGUUGUUCGGAAUUACUGGGCGUAAAGGGUCUGUAGGUGGCCAACUAAGUCAGACGUGAAAUCCCUCAGCUUAACUGGGGAACUGCGUCUGAGACUGGAUGGCUCGAGUGCAGGAGAGGAAUGCGGAAUUCCAGGUGUAGCGGUGAAAUGCGUAGAUAUCUGGAGGAACACCGGUGGCGAAGGCGGCAUCCUGGACCGAGAUUGACGCUGAGGCGCGAAAGCCAGGGGAGCAAACGGG
rnacentral:rRNA from 1 species